CCUGUAUUAAGUUUCAGCUCUGCAGACAGAGAGGGAAGCACAAGAGCCCACCCCCAUAGUGGUUAGAGCAUUGGACUAGUAAUUGAAAGGUUGCAAGAUCGAAUCCCCCGAGCUGACAAGGUAAAAAUCUGAUGUCGAUUAAGGCAGCCCCCCGCACCUCUCUGAUUCAGAGGGGUUGGGUUAAAUGAGGAAGACACAUUUCAGUUGAAUACAUUCAGUUGGACAGCUGACUAGCUUUAGGGGGCAAAACGAAUCUGGGACAUUACAAAUUAUCCAGAGGAAAAACGUUCUUAAAAACGUCACUUGUUGUGCAGCAAAGUGUUCCUGUUGUUGUCAGCCCAACACUAGUCCUGGACGGUCAACCUGGAGUUGAGAAGAAGAAAACAAGUGCUGCUCUCAGUGCUCUUUCCCCAUGUGUAACGGCUUAAGAUGUCCUACCAGUGCCUUGUAUCCGGGGGAAGAGGUGAAGCGUGACAACAGGCUGGAGGUUAGAAUAGGAGGACCCGAAGAGGAGGUUCCUGUCCUCCGGCCUAGGACGCCUAAUCAAAAUCCCAUGGCCUUGCAUCCUCACUCUCUUGCGCUCUCUCUCUCUCUCUCUCUCUCUCUCUCUCUCUCUCACACACACACACACACACACACACACACACACACACACACACACACACACACACACACACACACACACACACACACACACACUGCUCUGGCUCUACUGCAGCUUCACGGUCAUUGUUGGUUCGACCACCUCUAAUUCAAUCAUGUCCCUCGAGCCAUGGGGAUGCAUCGCCAGAGGUCCCAUCCACUAUAAACACAUUUAGGGAUUAUUUAUUUUUAGCUUUAGCUCAGUACUCUCCUGUGUUCGGACCCUAGCUAACUGCAGCUACCCCAGAUGGUUCUGCUAAGGUGGCUGUUUCUGGAUUCCUGCAGAUUGUGGGUUGUAAGUGAAGAAAGGGUUUCUCUCUUUUGGCCUGUCCUUCAUUAUGAGAGAGGUAUUUAUCACAAUCAGACUGACUAACGGAGCUUAACCCUCUGGUCCUCCACACACAGCACUAUGCUACUGUUCUAUGAUGCUGAAGAAAAAAAAAGGUUUUACGUUGUUUACAUGGAACAAGCAAGUGUAGUCAGAGUAUCAGUUACCUUACGCAGCUUCCUCCAUAGCUCAGAGUGGACUUUGGUGGGUUUUACCAGGGGCAAAUCUGAAAUGUCAUCCUAUUUCCUAAGUAGCAUUAUGUUUGGCCGGAGACGGUGUCAUUUUGGACACAACGCAGCAUUGAUGUUUUACUGGCAGAUGGAUGUGUUACUGGCAGACGGAUGUGUUACUGGCAGAAUCUGCUUAGACAAAAACACACUGUAGCCCUUCUCUCAGAUGUAGUCAUCUGUGAAUGAAUCACAUUCACUGAUUCACUGGACCUCAGUGCCUCAGUGUAUUUGGCCUCAUUUGAAUAAGAGGUCAGAGAGAGGACAGAACACCCCAUGUCCCCCCUCUCCCUUCACUCCCUAUUCUCCACACAAACCCAACUACAACUCCUAUUUCCCAGCCUGCACCUCUCUUCCUGUCUGAGUGCUGACCCAGGGGUCGGUAGCUGUCAGUCACGUCCCUCAGCUGGCCUCCGAGGCUCUCCUCUCAUGAGCCGCUGGCCACAGACUGGGCUCUGUGAGGGGACCUCUGAAGGAAAGGCCCAGGCCGGUCAUAUGGGAUCAUCUCUGUGCAUUCAUGGUGUGUAAUUUAAUUACCCCUUCCCUCCUCUUUCUCAUGUUUCCUUCUCCUAUCCUAAUGCAAACCCCAGGUUGGACCGACCGUCACCCUGGUCUAUAGUGAGAGGAAGGGCUUCAGGGGCUGACAGCCAGACAAAGACAGACACAUGUCGACAAUGUGUAUACUCAGGCCCUGACAGAGUUUGGGUUAAUAGUGGGAGUCUCGUAUGAGGAUCGACUGACGAGCAGCUUGUCAACUCUCCAUCUACAUGCUGUUGGAGGAUCAGGAGGAUCACCCACCAUGUCCAUGGAAGGAAGAGGUCUCCAGGCUGCUCGUUAUGGCGCACACCUGUCACCAUCGUUACGUGCACCUGCGCAUCAUCAGACUCACCUGGACUCCAUCACUUCCCUGAUUACCUUCCCUAUAUAUGUCACUCCCUUUGGUUCCUUCACCAGGCCUUAUUGUUUCUGAUUCUGUGUCAUGUCUUUGCGUUGUUCGUGGUUUCUUGUUUUGUAUUAUGUUACGUUUA
rnacentral:lncRNA from 1 species